rnacentral:rRNA from 1 species
AUACGGAGGGUGCAAGCGUUACUCGGAAUCACUGGGCGUAAAGCGCGCGCAGGCGGCUUGAUAAGUUGGAUGUGAAAGCCUACGGCUCAACCGUAGAACUGCAUCCAAAACUGUCAGGCUAGAGUGUGGGAGAGGAAGAUGGAAUUAGUUGUGUAGGGGUAAAAUCCGUAGAGAUAACUAGGAAUACCAAAAGCGAAGGCGAUCUUCUGGAACAGUACUGACGCUGAGGCGCGAAAGCGUGGGGAGCAAACAGGAUUAGAAACCCCUGUAGUCC